GACGAACGCUGGCGGCGCGCUUAACACAUGCAAGUCGAGCGAAGCGGUGGAGGGGUGAGUAACACCUGAGUAACCUGCCUUAGACAUUGGGAUAGCAUCGGGAAACCGGGAUUAAUACCAAAUGGUCUAAGAUGGACUCGUGUCCCAUUAGCUAGUUCGUGAGGUAACGGCCCACGAAGGCGUCGGUGGGUAUCCGGCCAGAGAGACUGAGCGGCGACUUUUGAACUAGGAAGCAGUCGGGACUCUACACGAGGGGGCAGUGGGGGAUAUUGCACAGUGGAGGGGACUCUGAUGCAGCGACGGCGGGUGAGCGAAGAAGGCUGUCGAGAAGUAGAGUUCUUUUAUAUGGGGAGCGGUACCAUAAGAAGAAGCCCCGGCUAACUACGUGCCAGCAGCCGCGGUAAUAC
rnacentral:rRNA from 1 species